UUUCUAUGGAGAGUUUGAUCCUGGCUCAGGACGAACGCUGGCGGCGUGCCUAAUACAUGCAAGUCGAGCGGACCAAACAGGAGCUUGCUCUUGUUUGGUUAGCGGCGGACGGGUGAGUAACACGUGGGUAACCUGCCCGUAAGACCGGGAUAACUCCGGGAAACCGGAGCUAAUACCGGAUAACACCGAAGACCGCAUGGUCUUUGGUUGAAAGGCGGCUUCGGCUGCCACUUACGGAUGGGCCCGCGGCGCAUUAGCUAGUUGGUGAGGUAACGGCUCACCAAGGCGACGAUGC
rnacentral:rRNA from 1 species